UCGAGAAUCUUCGGCAAUGGGCGAAAGCCUGACCGAGCGACGCCGCGUGCGGGAUGAAGGCCUUCGGGUUGUAAACCGCUGUCGUAGUGGAGGAAAUGUAGGAGAGUUAUCUCUUCUACUUGACUAAUACUAGGAGGAAGGACCGGCUAAUCUCGUGCCAGCAGCCGCGGUAAUACGAGAGGUCCAAACGUUAUUCGGAUUUACUGGGCUUAAAGAGUUCGUAGGCGGCUAAGUAAGUGGGGUGUGAAAUCCCUCGGCUCAACCGAGGAACUGCGCUCCAAACUACUUAGCUAGAGGAAGAUAGAGGUAAGCGGAACAGAUGGUGGAGCGGUGAAAUGCGUUGAUAUCAUCUGGAACACCGGAGGCGAAGGCGGCUUACUGGGUCUUUUCUGACGCUGAGGAACGAAAGCUAGGGGAGCAAACG
rnacentral:rRNA from 2 species